ensembl:lncRNA
UGUCCUGUUGCAGCAGGUCCCACUAAAGGGGCCCUUCCUUCUUACAGCUCCCCUUCAGACACUGAAAGGCUGCUAUCAGGUCUCCCUGAAGCCUUAUCUUCUCCAGGCUGAACAGCCCCAGUUCUCUCAGCUUGUCUUCAUAGGUGAGGUUUUUUUACAGUAGAGAUGGUGAGGCCCUGGAACAGGGUGCCCAGAGAGGUGGUAGAUGCCCCGUCCCUGGAGACACUCAAGGUUGGACUGGAUGGCGCUCAGACCACCUGAUGGACCUUGGAAAUAACAUCCUCUUGAAGUUGUUGAUUGGACAGUCAUACUUCUGAGUGCAAAUCCUCCAAAGGAGCUACAGGACUCUGCACUCAGGAAAGCAGUUGCACACAGAAAGAUUACUUUUUGGGGGCUAUCGUUUACCUUUUAAUCCUCUUAUUCUUUUCUCUGCAUAAUAAAGCGUUAUGGUAGUUUAGGUUGUUGUUGUUUGUUGUUUUAUUUUCUUUCAAUGUUUUUUAUUUAUUUAUGUAUUUUAUUUUCCCACAGCUACAGAAUGGUUCUUUCUUUAUAUGACAUACAAUUAUUUCUUGAAGAAGGAAGUUAUACCUGCAUGUAGCCAGAUCAGGAUAUAAGUACCAUGGGUAAUGUAUCUUGAAAGCCUCAUACCUGAUUUGCUAAAUUUACUUCUAAGCUGUCCACUUGAAAAUGGACUAGUUAAUUGGUGGAACAGUUCCCUUAGCCUUCUUAAACACAGUAAGGCUGCUGCUUCCACAUAUUUGAAGGAAUAUAGUGGUUAGUCGUACUUUUCUUUUCUUUCUUUCUUUUUUUUUUUUUUUUUUGUAAGAAGAGCAGACGUAGAUACAUGAGAAAAUUCUUUCACUGAUUUUCUCAAACUACUGAAUAGGAAACCUGCUUACAUUAUUUAAAUUUAAUGUACGAGUUAUAGAAUCAUAGAGUUGUUCCAAAUUGUUCAGUGGCAUGCACUCAAGACAUUUAUUUCAGUAUUUGGCUUUGAGAUUCUGAAAAUACUUCCUUCCUUGAUUUAUCUUACCCAUACAACUGUGUCCACUGUUUUAUUUAAGGCUGCUUGUGUUGUUUUCAUGGUCAUGUGCUUAGAAACUAAA